rnacentral:rRNA from 1 species
AUACGGAGGGUGCAAGCGUUAAUCGGAAUUACUGGGCGUAAAGCGCGCGUAGGCGGUUUGGUAAGUCGGAUGUGAAAGCCCCGGGCUCAACCUGGGAAUUGCAUUCGAUACUGCCAGACUAGAGUAUGGUAGAGGGUAGCGGAAUUCCCGGUGUAGCGGUGAAAUGCGUAGAUAGCGGGAGGAACACCAGUGGCGAAGGCGGCUACCUGGACCAAUACUGACGCUGAGGUGCGAAAGCGUGGGGAGCGAACAGGAUUAGAAACCCUAGUAGUCC